AUAUAUCAUGCUGUUUUUUUUCUUCUUUUUCCUCAAGAAGCACCAUCAGGAAUGUGUUCGGGGACGUGCCUUGCGUUCCAUCCUUGCUGUUAGGAAGGUGAGCCGAGAGGAGGCAGAGAAAGUGGUGGACGAGGUAUUCGACACCUGCUUCAAUGACCACGCCCCUUUCGGCCGCAUCCCACAUGACAAGAAGGACGCCAAGUUUGCCUACAGAGAUUUUGAGAACCGAGAUCGGUAUUCCGCAAACCUUUAAUGUGUUAUUAUGUGUACAAAUGAAUUGUAAUUUAAUUUCCAUGGGUGCUAUUGUGAGGAUCCUUGCAGAAACCUGGGCAACCUACCUACCACUGCCCUUAGCAGAAUGACUGUGUCAAAAAUGGUAUGAAAUUACCUCCUGAAGGGAAAUAUAUGUUUUUAUGGCACACUUUUGUGGACUCUAAUGCUAAAGAAUGUGAUGGAGUGGUUUCCUUUUGGAUAUUGAUAAAUUUGGCGAACAUUUUUUGGUCGUACUUUUACAGCUGUUCCAAAGUUGGUGUUUGUGAAGGGUAUAUGAUGCCUGUAAAACUUAUUUCAAGACUGAAAGGUGGGGACACAUUUCCAAGGGGGACUGUCCACCCCUCUACUCUGCCAUGUGGACAUACAAUGACUGAGAACUGUGAGUUCACUGUUAAUAGAUUUUAUUGUACUGUAUUGAAUAAGUCAACUUGUUGAAAUAAAUAUUUGAUUAUUAUGAAUA